GUGAAUCAUCAAAUCUUUGAACGCAAAUUGCACUCUCUGGCAUUCCGGAGAGUAUGCCUGUUUGAGGGUCAGUAAAUAUAAAACUCGGGGGGUUGCCGUUUUGUGACCCAUCGGAAUUGGGUUAUCUUUGACCUUUUAAAAAGUUUAAGUGACCUAAAAUUGAUACUUUCUGCAUCUCAGACGUG
rnacentral:misc_RNA from 1 species